rnacentral:rRNA from 1 species
AGUCGUUCUGCCCAUUGAAUUUUAAAGGCUGCGGUAUAUUAACUGUACAAAGGUAGCAAAAUCAAUAGUUUUUUAAUUGAAAACUUGAAUGAAAGAGUUGAUAAAAUAUAAAUUGUCUUAAUAAUUGAAUUUAAAUUAAAAGUAAAAAUGCUUUUAUUUUUUUAUUAGACGAUAAGACCCUAAGAAUUUUAUUAUUUUAAUUAUUUAAUAAAAAAUUAAUUUAAAAUAAUUUUAUUGGGAGGAUAAUUAAAUAAAACUUUAAUUUGUAAUAAUAUUAAUAAAUAAAUUUAAUGAAUAUUUUUAAGAUUAUAAGAAUAAAUUACCUUAGGGAUAACAGCGUAAUAAUUUUGGAGAGUUCAUAUUGAUAAAAUUGUUUGCGACCUCGAUGUUGAAUUAAAAUAAAAAUUAAAUGAAGAUAUUUAAAUUUU